rnacentral:rRNA from 1 species
UACUGUCGUUCCCUAUCUUCGACUNGAANCUCGGCUUUCGUCUCGCAUGGUGUCUUUCNUGNCUCGGGCACACUGCCUCUAUAUGCGGCCUUNCCCGCUCAAAGCGGUCCCCUCCCCCAACCCNCCGUCACUCCCAAACUUGGGGCAAAAAAGUAUUAGAUCCCCCGGUUUCUUACCCUAAANGAUGGNUGCUUGGGGGGCGGGCACCCAAUCCCGCCGUCCCGUAGUAACGGGGUAAGCAGUCCGCUGGGGAGUACGGUCCAAAGCUGAAACUCAAAGGAAUUGAGGGGGGCCCGCACAAAGCGGUGGAGCAUGUGUUUAAUUUGACGCAACGCGAAGAACCUUACCUGGGCUCGAAAUGUUAUGGACCGCGGUAGAAAUAUCGCUUUCCCGCAAGGGACCGUAAUAUAGGUGCUGCAUGGCUGUCGUCAGCUCGUGUCGUGAGAUGUUGGGUUAAGUCCCGCAACGAGCGCAACCCUUACUUCCAGUUGCCAUCAUUUAGUUGGGCACUCUGGCAGAACCGCCUCGGAUAACGGGGAGGAAGGUGGGGAUGACGUCAAGUCCUCAUGGCCUUUAUGUCCAGGGCUACACACGUGCUACAAUGGUCGGUACAAACCGUCGCAAACCCGUGAGGGGGAGCUAAUCGGAAAAAGCCGACCUCAGUUCGGAUUGUAGUCUGCAACUCGACUACAUGAAGCUGGAAUCGCUAGUAAUCGCGGAUCAGAAUGCCGCGGUGAAUACGUUCCCGGGCCUUGUACACACCGCCCGUCACAUCACGAAAGUGGGUUGCACUAGAAGUCGGUGGGCUAACCGCAAGGGAGCAGCCGCCCAAGGUGUAAUUCAUGAUUGGGGUGAAGUCGUAACAAGGUAA